UAUUACUGAGUCUCAGCGAGUCUUGCCAUGAUCAGCCCUUCCCAGAAGAGAAGGAAGACCAAGGAAGUCCUUUGUUCAGGGUGAGGAAUGAAUAUGGCCAUCUUGCGCCCAAACAAAGAAGACAGAAAAGUGUGCAUGUCCACUGAUGAUCUCAUCAGCCAAAUGAGGGGUUUUAACCGAGUGAUGCUCUUGAAAGGAGAGAAAGAAGAGGAUGUUGUAAAUUGUCUUCAAAGAAAAAGCUUCUCAAAAAGUCUUAAAAUCUUAAA